rnacentral:rRNA from 1 species
CAGUCGCCGCGGUAAUACGAAGGGGGCCAGCGUUGUUCGGAUUUGCUGGGCGUAAAGCGCACGUAGGCGGAUCGAUCAGUUAGGGGUGAAAUCCCAGAGCUCAACUCUGGAACUGCCUUUGAUACUGUCGAUCUGGAGUAUGAAAGAGGUGAGUGGAAUUCCGAGUGUAGAGGUGAAAUUCGUAGAUAUUCGGAGGAACACCAGUGGCGAAGGCGGCUCACUGGACCAUUACUGACGCUGAGGUGCGAAAGCGUGGGGAGCAAACAGGAUUAGAUACCCCGGUAGUCCCUGUCUCUUAUAC